GACGAACGCUGGCGGCGUGCUUAACACAUGCAAGUCGAACGGGGUGUUUAUUUCGGUAAACACCAAGUGGCGAACGGGUGAGUAACGCGUAAGCAAUCUACCUUCAAGAUGGGGACAACACUUCGAAAGGGGUGCUAAUACCGAAUGAAUGUAAGAGUAUCGCAUGAGACACUUACUAAAGGAGGCCUCUGACAUAAGCUUCCGCUUGAAGAUGAGCUUGCGUCUGAUUAGCUAGUUGUGAGGUAAGGCCACCAAGGCGACGAUCAGUAGCCGGUCUGAGAGGAUGAACGGCCACAUUGGGGACUGAGACACGGCCCAGACUCCUACGGGAGGCAGCAGUGGGGAAUCUUCCGCAAUGGGCGAAAGCCUGACGGAGCAACGCCGCGUGAACGAUGAAGGUCUUAGGAUCGUAAGUUCU
rnacentral:rRNA from 1 species